rnacentral:rRNA from 1 species
GAUGAACGCUAGCUACAGGCUUAACACAUGCAAGUCGAGGGGUAACGAGAGGAAAGCUUGCUUUCCUUGUCGACGACCGGCGCACGGGUGAGUAACGCGUAUCCAACCUGCCCCCAACUAAGGAAUAACCUUGCGAAAGUAAGACUAAUACCUUAUAAUUUCCUCAGAUGUCAUCUGACGAGGAAUACAGAUUUAUCGGAUGUGGAUGGGGAUGCGUCUGAUUAGCUUGUUGGCGGGGUAACGGCCCACCAAGGCAACGAUCAGUAGGGGUUCUGAGAGGAAGGUCCCCCACAUUGGAACUGAGACACGGUCCAAACUCCUACGGGAGGCAGCAGUGAGGAAUAUUGGUCAAUGGGCGGAAGCCUGAACCAGCCAAGUAGCGUGCAGGAUGACGGCCCUAUGGGUUGUAAACUGCUUUUAUACAGGAAUAAAGUUAGCCACGUGUGGUUAUUUGUAGGUACUGUAUGAAUAAGGACCGGCUAAUUCCGUGCCAGCCGCCGCCGUAA